CACAGUGUUGCUUUAUGGAUUUUUAAUGCAAAUGCACUUAAAACAGCUUUUUUUGAGUGUGUAUGAAGGAUUUAUCAAUUUAUGCAUAUGCUGUACGGAGGAAAAUUCCUAAAGGCAACAAACUGAUUUGAGCCUCGUGGAGAGCAGUGACGAUCAUCCUGUCUUGUCAUGUGCAUUUCUGUUCUCACCUCUGUGCUGUGACUUCUGUUGUCAGGUGGCUGGAUUUUGGAUAAUAAAAUGCUGACGGAAUUGAUUCAGCCCAGUAACAGAUCUUUAUCUCCUGUAACCGUAGCGGAUGUCUUUUUGGGGAGCAGCAAUUGUACCAGCAUGGCCCCACCUUGGGAGCACCACAGACUGUAUGAGCAUGUGACAGCUAAAACAUUUCAAUCAUGAAAUGCAUCCAUUUGUACACUGUAGCCCUUCCUCCUGUGAAGCAACGGCGGCUUUUACAACACCUGCACUUGGGAAACAGUGAAAUGAAUAAACUGUGUUUUUGCAAGAUUGUGUAUAGAUCCAUGUACGCUCAUAUUUAUUCAUCGGGUUCAAAUUAGAUUAAAGUUGAAUACGUGCAGCAGCUCUGUCAACACACUGAAUAUGAGUCGUCCAUGAUAGCCUCUGAGGCUUAUGUGGAUCUGGAGGAUGUGUGCAUGAAUGGUUGUGAACCAUUGUGACCAUGAAUUUGGGUCACCUUGAGUUUCACAGCCAGGUUUAUGUCAUCGCCAUCUGAAUUUACAGGGACAGUAGGUUAGUAGGUCCCCCUGAGAAUCACAUAGUGUAAGAUUUCACCUGAUUUGCAUCUGUUUUUAUCUGUUAUCUGUUUUUUUUUUAGUUGUUAUUCUAUUUGUGCGUCCAAGUAACUGUAAAAUCAUCGACCCCUCAUCUGUCCUGGAUUAAUGUGUUAUUCUCCAAAAGUCUGUUUCUGAAAAUAAAGCAUGUAAAAUUCAGAUUUCAUAUGUAUUUGUUCAAAUAAUAGCCACUGACAAUCAUCUGCAGCAGCAACAGCAUAUCGAGUACCAUGUGAAGGAUUUAUUGCGUAUUUCUUAAUUGUGUGUUCCAGGUGUUUAUCAUCACCAGGUGGGAAAACAAUCAGUGUCCUACAUUUGUGUUACAAGCACAAGUAGGCCAGUGGGUCAAAAUAAAAUUACCAACACCACCAUUGGUAUAACACAAAGAUUUAGUCUUUUCAUCUGCUGAGGCAAAUUGUUGUGGCCCAGUUUUUCGCAGCCUUACAGGAGCGUUCAGUGAGCGUUCUACCUCU